rnacentral:rRNA from 1 species
GACGAACGCUGGCGGCGUGCUUAACACAUGCAAGUCGAACGGAAAGGCCCUGCUUGCAGGGUACUCGAGUGGCGAACGGGUGAGUAACACGUGGGUGAUCUGCCCUGCACUUCGGGAUAAGCCUGGGAAACUGGGUCUAAUACCGGACAGGAGCCAUUUUUAGUGUGAUGGUUGGAAAGUUUUUUCGGUGUAGGAUGAGCUCGCGGCCUAUCAGCUUGUUGGUGGGGUAAUGGCCUACCAAGGCGGCGACGGGUAGCCGGACUGAGAGGGGGGGCGGCCACAUUGAGACUGAGAUGCGGCACAGACUCCUACGGGAGGGAGCAGGGGGGAAGCUUGCACAAUGGGCGCAGGCCUGAUGCAGAGACGCCGCGUGGGGGAUGACGGCCUUCGGGUUGUAAACUACUUUCGCUAGGGACGAAGCUUUGUGUGACGGUACCUAGAUAAGAAGCACCGGCUAACUACGUG